GCAGAAAGCUGGCGGGGGGGUGGGGGGAGGAACAUGGCGCAAGCUCUGUCUGAGGAGGAGUUUCAGCGGAUGCAGUACUUGGAGAGACAGAUCACUGGGUCCUGGAGAGGACAGGAGUAGGAAAGAUUCUGUGAAGGCCAAGCCCUCUGACCUUGAGCAGACUACCAGAGAACAACAGAGUCUUUCUCUGUCACCCAGGCUAUAGUGUGCAGUGGCACGAUCUCAGCUCACUGCAACCUCCACCUCCCGGGUUCAAGUGAUUCUCCUAUCUCAGCUUCCCUAGUAGCUGGGAUUACAGGCUCAGCUCCUGGAACUCCGGACAAACAACUACCAGCUUUCAGAUGAACUACGCAAGAAUGGUGUUGAACUCACCAGUCUUCGACAGAAGGUCGCCUACUUGGAUAAGGAGUUCAGCAAAGCUCAGAAGGCACUGAGCAAGAGCAAGAAAGCUCAGGAAGUCGAGGUAUUGCUGAGUGAAAAUGAGAUGCUGCAGGCAAAGCUGCACAGCCAGGAGGAGGACUUCCGUUUGCAGAACAGCACACUAAUGGCCGAG
rnacentral:lncRNA from 10 species